UACGUAGGUGGCAAGCGUUGUCCGGAUUUACUGGGCGUAAAGGGAGCGUAGGUGGAUAUUUAAGUGGGAUGUGAAAUACUCGGGCUUAACCUGGGUGCUGCAUUCCAAACUGAAUAUCUAGAGUGCAGGAGAGGAAAGUAGAAUUCCUAGUGUAGCGGUGAAAUGCGUAGAGAUUAGGAAGAAUACCAGUGGCGAAGGCGACUUUCUGGACUGUAACUGACACUGAGGCUCGAAAGCGUGGGGAGCAAACAGG
rnacentral:rRNA from 1 species